rnacentral:lncRNA from 1 species
GUCAUAGAUAAAUAUAUAUAAUUUAUAUAUAUAUAUUUAUUAGCAUCCAUAUAAACAUAUAAAUAUACGUAUAAAUAUAAAAAGGCAGUGCACUUUCUCGGCGGGAGAGGACGUCCACGUGGCACAGCCUCACCGCUUGGCCUGAAUGUAAAGUGUCUCUUUUGUCUUUGCCGUUUUAUCUCUCCAAGCUACAGCACCAGCGACGCCCUCCCUCCCAUCGAGCCCGAGAAGCUGCCNNN